rnacentral:rRNA from 1 species
CAAUAGCGUAUAUUAAAGUUGUUGCAGUUAAAAGGCUCGUAGUUGGAUUUGUGGCGUACGGUGUGUUCCGGGCACUUGUUGUCUGAGUAACCUGCUGUUGCCAUCCUUGGGUGGAACCUGUGUGGCAUUAGGUUGUCGUGCAGGGGAUGCCCAUCAUUUACUGUGAAAAAAUUAGAGUGUUCAAAGCAGGCUUAUGCCGUUGAAUAUAUUAGCAUGGAAUAAUGAGAUAGGACUUUUUUGCUAUUUUGUUGGUUUGUUGGGACUGAGUAAUGAUUAAGAGGGACAGUUGGGGGUCCUUGUAUUUCGGCGCUAGAGGUGAAAUUCUUAGAUUGCCGAAAGACAAACUGCUGCGAAAGCGUCGACCAAGGAUGUUUUCAUUGA